GACGAACGCUGGCGGCGUGCUUAACACAUGCAAGUCGAACGGAAAGGCCCUGCUUUUGUGGGGUGCUCGAGUGGCGAACGGGUGAGUAACACGUGAGUAAACUGCCCUUGACUUUGGGAUAACUUCAGGGAACUGGGGCUAAUACCGGAUAGGAGCUCCUGCUGCAUGGUGGGGGUUGGAAAGUUUCGGCGGUUGGGGAUGGACUCGCGGCUUAUCAGCUUGUUGGUGGGGUAGUGGCUUACCAAGGCUUUGACGGGUAGCCGGCCUGAGAGGGUGACCGGCCACAAGGGGACUGAGAUACGGACCAGACUCCUACGGGAGGCAGCAGUGGGGAAUAUUGCACAAUGGGCGGAAGCCUGAUGCAGCAACGCCGCGUGCGGGAUGACGGCCUUCGGGUUGUAAACCGCUUUCGCCUGUGACGAAGCGUGAGUGACGGUAAUGGGUAAAGAAGCACCGGCUAACUACGUG
rnacentral:rRNA from 1 species